CAGAGGAGGAACAGCUCCUGAUCUGAACAUAAAUGCGGAUAUUUUCUGCAGAAACUCUGUGGACACUGUGCUGUGUCUCCUCUGUGUCUGUGGACACUGUGGUGUGUCUUCUGUGCUUGUGUCAUCUCUGUGUCCUCUCUGUGUCUGUGUCUUCUCUGUCUCUGUGGACAGUGUUGAUGUUGGACACAGUGGCUCUCAUUUAUCAAGCUUGUGUACGGCAGAAAACUUGCGUACACCUUGCGCAUGAAAAUUUUGACGUGAGGAUCGGCAUUUAUCAAUCUGCACGUGAGCGUACGCGACAACCAAAUCUAACGACAGGUCUGACAUCGUGCACGCAAGUUUGAGUCAGUGUGGAUCUGCAGUGCAGCAAAUGUCUAUCUCAAAAUCAUUGAAAAACAAACCUCAAAUCUGUCAUUAAGCACAAUCAGCCAGAUUUCAUAAAGAUUAAGACAUAAAUAAAAUGAAAUAAAAAAUAUUGAAAAGGUCUAUUUGAUAACUCUGCCCAGAAACACUGCCACAGAGCAGGAGUGCCGUUUUAACAUUGCGCGCACACGUGCCACUGUGAAGUGCUGCAUUUGACUCCUAAAAGGCAGGUGUCUUUAUCUUGGUCCAGCAGCGGGGACGUUGUUGUACACUCCUGAAAGGGUGUGGGAAAUUAUUUGGGCCAGUACAGUUUUGCACAAUGUUGCACUGGUGAAUGGAGUGCCGUUGGCUGUGCCGGUGCAACGUGAAGACCCGAUGCCCAGAGAACAAUAAUGAGGAGAGACUCCACAAAGGUGCUGUACAGAGGAGACAGGACCUUACUGAUGGAUUUAGUCAUGUAAAUAUAAGUUUAGAAAGUGCUCUUGCUAUUUAUUUAGUGAUAAAAAUCCAAUACAAAUCCAUUUAAAUGUGCCUCAGGGGCAGCAACACACCGUUUGGUGAGGUUAAUAAUUAUUUUUGUUCAGCCUCUGUCAGACUCUCCAGUCUGCUCUACAUUACAAGACGCAACAAAUUAAAACUAAAUACUUUCAAUAAUAGGAGCAACGUACCCUAUGUCAUGGCAAUAAAAAAUAUAAGGCAUGUAUGAGAUAUUAAUUUAUCAUCAUGAGCAACUUAUUGACUGAUUGAUUUAAACUUCAGCCACUGUCCGCUAUUCUGCAGCAGCGCUGUUCAGCGCCACCAUAAUCCUGCUCCAGACAGGAGUUUUCUCGACUGCUUUUAUUCCAGUUUUGAUGCUUCCAAAAAGUAAAUCCUUGUUAUUUUCCACCACGCGAGGAUAUCGACUUUCAGCUCGGAAAAGUUUCCAAUCUUUCUAAUAUUUCUCCCCUUUCAUGUUUGACUUCAGUGGGCGAGGCUUCUGAAUCACAAAUAUUUAAGGGCGUAAACAUGUUAAUGACGAUCGAUUUCAGCCGCCACAUUUAUCAAGACCCGAUCAUAUGUACGCUGGGAUUGGUCAGAUGCGAACCAUUUCAUAAAUCUCAUGUGUGUCCUAUCGUAGGAUUGAUAAAGAGUGAUAAAUGAGGGCCAGUGUCUGUGUCUCCUCUGUGUCUGUGUUCAGAGCUGAGUGUGACCGGAGUGGGCUCUAUCUGUGUCUUCUCUGUGUCUGUGUCCUCUCUGUGUCUGUGGACAUUGUUGACGUUGGAUACAGUGUCUUCUAAAGGCUGUUUGCUGUUUGGUUCAGGUCCCAUAUUUGGGUCCUGGUGUUGGACUUUGUUCUAAUCCGGUACAUAGAGGCGGGUCAGAGCAGGAUUAUGGUCCACUCUCAUACAGCGAAAUUAUUAGAAUAAUGGAGAAAACACUGAAAACAGAGAACAACACCGUCCAAUCACUGCAAACUGCUUUAAAAGCUGGGAUAAUAAUAACAAUUAUUAUUACUGUAAUUAUAAUGGACACAUAGAAGACAGCUGACAACACCGUUUAAUCACAGCAAACUGCUUUGAAGGCUUGUAGAGAAAGAAAUGAUAAUAAUAAUAAUAAUAAUGGUCUCAUUUGUGUUUUAACUGUGAGCUGAAUUAAAUUUAUGGUCAAGCAUUCAUUGUGUUUUUUUCCGUAAGAUCAGAAGAACUUAAUUUACUGUUGAAAUCUGAUAGAAUUGUUUUGAUUUGGAAAUUGACAAUUUCACUAUUAAAGAAUGAUUUAUAUUACUCUGUCUAUAUUACAAACCUUGACCUUAAUAUAUGUGGAAAAAAAAUCAGACUGUCAUCAGAGCUUCAUUAUUCAUGUGACGAUGAAGUUCCAUCAUGAUAACGAAGUAAUUAAGAUAUUUAGAGUCAACUUUAAAAAUCAAAACAAGAGAGGAGACAGUCGUAAACUUGGUUAAUAAACUGGUAGCCAUGGUUUAUUUUUAAUGAAGUCCACAUUUAUGAUUCAUCCACAUCAGCAGACAUCCCUGUCUGAAGCUUGAAAACAUGUUUAUCAUGUUUUUCUGACAGUUUACUCUUAAACUCUGUUUUUAGUCUCAGCAGAAGCACAAGCUGGUCUCAGGGUGGACCUCAUGAGUCUUCAUGAACUUCUCCUCCGACCACAAACCAAAAACCCCUAACCCUCCUCAGUUUAUGAAUGCAGAGUUUAACUCGAAGGUAAGCCUGAUUCUGGACUGAUGCAGAGAUUACCGACUGAGUUAACAAUAAUUUAUACUAAUCUAAAAAAGAAAAGACAGAAACUGUCUAUUAUUCUUCUGUGAGGUUUGUGUACAGUUUGAUGCCCCCUGUGGACAAAGUAAUUUUUCUCCUGUACUUGUGAAAGUUUUCCCGUCCUGCGAUAUUGCAGCAUUUAUUUUUUCACAUCAUGGUCGAUUUUUCUAAAGUUAACCAUACUGUGUGUCCACUUCUGACCAGUCAGAUUGCGUGUUGUUAUGAAGUCUGAUUCACCGGUAUAUCCAACAUGGCCAACCGGCUGAUUGUUUACGUGUGGGAGAACAGAGUGCUUUUUGAUAAAAAAAAACACAAAUAUUACAAAGAUAAUGACCUGAAGGACAACUUGUGGAGAGUCAUAGCGUCGGAUCUCUCAUAUGACGAUGGUUUGUGUGCUUUAACAGUUUGCUAAACGUCUUUGUUUUAACUUUCACCUUUGUUUUAACUUUCACCUGUGCUAAUGUAAGCUAAUGGUUGUCACCAUAGUUUCAUGUGCUUAUCUGGUAUGAUGGUAAGGGAAGGUCCCGCCCUCCUUCUCCUCUGAUUGGCUAUAAGUGCUGACCGUUUGGCUUCAGCGUGUGAUGACAUUUCCAGCUUUUCUAGCCAAUCAGAAGCAAAGGAGGCGGGACUUUCCCCGGGAAAAGUCUUCCCUGGGAUGUGUCUAUUUUCCCCCCGGAAAGUCGCAAAUUCGCAUUGGGCUUGAUGUACAUAGUCAGGCGCGUCAAAAUUUGCCUCAGAAUGUUUCGUAAUUUCGCAUUCUAUAUUCGCGUCAGCUCCGAUGUGUAAGGACCUUUGGUCUUUAAACAGAGUUAUUGGUUCAGCCUGCUGUCAAUCAUGUGCUGUGACUCUGCCCCAUAAACCCAACCCAGUAUCAGCAGCGGUGUGAGGACCUCCUCUCACUGUCAGCUCUCUUUUUUGAUAUUUAUAUUAAUAAAUUUGUCUGGUCAGUUUUAUUUAAGCUUUAAUUCCUCAGUCUGAAACAUUCACACAGUGUUACUUAUGAAGCAGUAAUGACCUUUGACCUGCUAAAAGCUAACCUGGAGGUUUGUCAGGAUGGUUCUGGUCUCAGAUUUUGGGUCAGUUUCAUAAUGAGGUUAUAUGACAUAACUUUAAUAUGGAAGAGGAUUACAGACAAACACCGGGUCACUAAAGGACACUGAGAGAGACCGCAGCUAGACAACUUCAGUCCAGAUGUCACAUUUAUCUCCAGGUCACAUUCCAGCAGAAACAUCCGAAAUGUGGACAUCUGUGCAAAGAAAGGGCAGAGAUUUUCCCCCUUUUCUUUGUCUGUGUCUUUCAGUGUCUGUCAGUGUUUGUCAGUGUUUGUGCGUGUUUGUCAGUGUU